UGAUUGGCUACGUUCGGGAGAGAUAACCGCUGAAAGCAUCUAAGCGGGAAGCUUGCUUCGAGAUGAGAUUUCCUUCCUCCUUUGUGGGGGUGAGGCUCCCAGGAGACUACUGGGUUGAUAGGCUGGAUGUGGUAGCGAGGACUGACGACUCGUGGAGCUGACCAGUACUAAUAAGCCGAUGAUCUUCACACA
rnacentral:rRNA from 1 species